GACGAACGCUGGCGGCGUGCUUAACACAUGCAAGUCGAACGGAAAGGCCCUGCUUUUGUGGGGUGCUCGAGUGGCGAACGGGUGAGUAACACGUGAGUAACCUGCCCUUGACUUUGGGAUAACUUCAGGAAACUGGGGCUAAUACCGGCUAGGAGCUCCUGCUGCAUGGUGGGGGUUGGAAAGUUUCGGCGGUUGGGGAUGGACUCGCGGCUUAUCAGCUUGUUGGUGGGGUAGUGGCUUACCAAGGCUUUGACGGGUAGCCGGCCUGAGAGGGUGACCGGCGACAUUGGGACUGAGAUACGGCCCAGACUCCUACGGGAGGCAGCAGUGGGGAAUAUUGCACAAUGGGCGGAAGCCUGAUGCAGCAACGCCGCGUGCGGGAUGACGGCCUGCGGGUUGUAAACCGCUUUCGCCUGUGACGAAGCGUGAGUGACGGUAAUGGGUAAAGAAGCACCGGCUAACUACGUG
rnacentral:rRNA from 1 species